rnacentral:rRNA from 1 species
GCCUGCCCAGUGAAACUUCAACGGCCGCGGUAUCCUAACCGUGCAAAGGUAGCGUAACCACUUGCCUCCUAAAUAGAGGCUAGUAUGAACGGCUAAAUGAGGACUAACCUGUCUCCUUUAACCAAUCAAUGAAACUGAUCUACCAGUCAAAAAGCUGGUAUAAAACCAUAAGACGAGAAGACCCUGUGGAGCUUCAAGCUUCAAUCAACACACCCACACACCAUGCCCUGAUCCAUAGCUUUAAGUUGGGGCGACUUCGGAAACAAGCCAAACUUCCGAGCACAAGACCACAGUCUAACCACGACUAACAUGUCUAGAUAUAAUUGACCCAGUAUCACUGAUAAACGAACCAAGUUACCCCAGGGAUAACAGCGCAAUCUUCUUUAAGAGUCCCUAUCGACAAGAAGGUUUACGACCUCGAUGUUGGAUCAGGACACCCAAUUGGUGCAGCCGCUA